rnacentral:lncRNA from 1 species
GCUGACGCCCCUUUCCCAGCAGGCUUGGGAAUAGGGUUUGCAGGCUGUAAGAGGGGGUUGGUUGGCUCCUGUCAUGCCUGCUGCUUCUCCCAGCGCAGUCCCAGUAACAAGGGAAAGGUCAGAAUGGCUGCACUUGUCCUAACCUGGCCUUGGAAGAGCUGCUUGAAGCUCCUUGCUGAUGCUCAUAAGUAAAUACAGCUCUGAGGAGGAAAAGGACAGGAACGCUGCCCGCAGACCUGAGGCUGCUGCUGUGUGGGAGCUGUGCCAGGCAUGCUAUGGGCACCAGGAAAACCCAGGAGCUCCGUGCCAGCCUGGUGCGGGCUGCCCUGGGGCAGCUGUGUGCUCUGCUGCGGGCUGCCCCUCGAGCUGCUUGGCUGCUGUGCGCUGUGCAGGGCUGCACGGGCUGCUCGGCUGCAGCUCAGGGCUGCGGUGGCAGAGAGGCAAAUCGCAGCGCCCAGCUGCAUGCAUUUCUUGUAAAUGCAAAUGCUCAGUCUGCCUUAAAAAUCCAGAGUGUCACUGAUUCAUUAUACCGUGGCCGUGGCAUUUGCAGCUCGCCCUGCUUCCAAGCGUUCCGUCGUGCUGAUGCGUCCCGUGGGAGCUCCGCUGCCCGGCGGUGCGCUGGGAGCCCCGAUGGCUGCGGGCUGCUGCACCUGCGCUGGGAGGAUUUGUUCCUUCUGGAGAGAGCGCGCAUCGAGACAGGGAGGGGGCAGCGCUCCCGUUGUGAAUACAAUGAGUCCUGCAAACAGCUCAUAAAUCAAGAGUCACUUGGAGAGGGAGGCACUGCAUCUCCUCUUCCCCCUGGGCUGCCAGCUGAGGCUUACACGAACGUGCUGCCAGGAAGAGGCUUUUUCUUUUUUCCUUUUUUUCUUUUUCUUUUCCUUUUUUUCCUUUUCUUUUAAUUUUUCUUCUUUUUCUUCUUUUCUUCUCCUACUUUUUCUUUUUCUUUCUUUUUUUUCUUUUUCUUUUUUCCAAAUGGCCAACCUCUUGCACUUAGCACAAACACAUUUCUAUGGAUAAGGGGAAUGAGGAUAAAAGAGGAGAGAUCUAGGUUAGAUGUGAGAAGGCAAUUCUUCAUCCAGAGGUGGUGAGGCCCUGGCACUGCUGCCCAGAGCUGUGGGUGCCCCAUCCCUUGGGGGUACCUGAGGCCAUGGAUGGGCCCUAGGCAACCAGAGCUGGGGGGACACCCAGACCUCAGCAGGGGCUGGCACUGCUUGAUCCUUAAGGUCACAUCAAACUUAAGUCAUUCUAUGAU